GAUGAACGCUGGCGGCGUGCCUAAUACAUGCAAGUCGAGCGAACAGACGAGGAGCUUGCUCCUCUGACGUUAGCGGCGGACGGGUGAGUAACACGUGGAUAACCUACCUAUAAGACUGGGAUAACUUCGGGAAACCGGAGCUAAUACCGGAUAAUAUAUUGAACCGCAUGGUUCAAUAGUGAAAGACGGUUUUGCUGUCACUUAUAGAUGGAUCCGCGCCGCAUUAGCUAGUUGGUAAGGUAACGGCUUACCAAGGCAACGAUGCGUAGCCGACCUGAGAGGGUGAUCGGCCACACUGGAACUGAGACACGGUCCAGGCUCCUACGGGAGGCAGCAGUAGGGAAUCUUCCGCAAUGGGCGAAAGCCUGACGGAGCAACGCCGCGUGAGUGAUGAAGGUCUUCGGAUCGUAAAACUCUGUUAUUAGGGUAGAACAAAUGUGUAAGUAACUAUGCACGUCUUGACGGUACCUAAUCAGAAAGCCACGGCUAACUACGUG
rnacentral:rRNA from 1 species